rnacentral:rRNA from 1 species
AUUGAACGCUGGCGGCAGGCCUAACACAUGCAAGUCGAGCGAGCGGCGGACGGGUGAGUAAUGUCUGUGAAACUGCCUGUUGGAGGGGGAUAACUACUGGAAACGGUAGCUAAUACCCCAUACCCUCAGAUGUGCCCAGAUGGGAUUAGCUAGUAGGUGGGGUAACGGCUCACCUAGGCGACGAUCCCUAGCUGGUCUGAGAGGAUGACCAGCCACACUGGAACUGAGACACGGUCCAGACUCCUACGGGAGGCAGCAGUGGGGAAUAUUGCACAAUGGGGGCAAGCCUGAUACAGCCAUGCCGCGUGUAUGAAGAAGGCCUUCGGGUUGUAAAGUACUUUCAGCGGGGAGGCGUUACCCGCAGAAGAAGCACCGGCUAACUCCGUGCCAGCCGCCGCGGUAAUAC